GGUCAAGUAGCCUAGUGAUUAAGGCAGCCCAUGCAUGUUGGGGCCAUGUCCAUUGGAUCUGGUCAUGGCUGGUUCAAAUCCAGCCGUGACCA
rnacentral:tRNA from 1 species